AGGGGCUUAGGAUAAAAAGACCAAGGGCCUUCAAAGCCCUUAGCAGGAGUGAAAGUCUCCUAGCCCCUG
rnacentral:tRNA from 1 species